rnacentral:rRNA from 1 species
GUAAGGAAUAUUGGACAAUGGACGCAAGUCUGAUCCAGCCAUGCCGCGUGAAGGAUUAAGGUCCUCUGGAUUGUAAACUUCUUUUAUAAGGGACGAAAAAAGGCUUUUCUAAGUCGUCUGACGGUACCUUAUGAAUAAGCACCGGCUAACUCCGUGCCAGCAGCCGCGGUAUUACGGAGGGUGCAAGCGUUAUCCGGAUUCACUGGGUUUAAAGGGUGCGUAGGCGGGCAGGUAAGUCAGUGGUGAAAUCCUAGAGCUUAACUCUGGAACGGCCAUUGAUACUAUCUGUCUUGAAUAUUGUGGAGGUAAGCGGAAUAUGUCAUGUAGCGGUGAAAUGCUGAGAUAUGAGAUAGAACACCUAUUGCGAAGGCAGCUUACUACGCAUAUAUUGACGCUGAGGCACGAAAGCGUGGGGAUCAAACAGGAUUAGAUACCCCUGUAGUCC